CGGUCGCCGUCGCCCACGAUCUCAAUGGAGGCAGAGACUCAGGACGACGUGGGAAUUCAAAUGUAUACAUCAACACUCAUCCGUCUUCCAAUUCCCAGUUCACACGAAAAUAGGAAACAAAUAAAGAAAGAAGAGCAGCGCAGAAUCAAACCAAAAAGGAGGAGAAAAUUCUUAUCAAAUCGGCUUAGGUCAGACUUGAUAAUUAUCAUUGGCUGCGGUAGUUAGAGGUUGUGGAAAGUGUGGACUAUAGUAUUUGGCUGAGCCUAUUGAUGCAUGCUCGACAUUGACUAAUGAAGCCAGACAUGGCAAGAAUUAUAGCUCCCCUUUUGUGUUGAUUAUAAGAGGAGGGUGCAGUUUUGACUUCUGAGGAUAAAGUUAGAAGAGCUCAAAAGCUUGGGUUCAAAGCUGCAAUUUUUUACGACAAAGAAGAGAGCGGCGUCUUUGUUUCAAAAAGAGAACUCAUAGAGGUAGAACUGAAAGCAGAUCGAUAAGGACCUGUUGAUCCAUAUUCAAGCAUGUAUAUAUGAAUGGCAGAUUGGACACUAGAUAUAAAAUUAUGAUCAACAAGCAAAACUGAAAGCAAAUCCAUAAGGACCUGUUGGUCUAUAUUCAAGCAGAAAAUCUUUCUGCAUCGACCGGAUUAUAUUGAUACUUUGAUGGUACACCAAAAGACUGGGCAACUCGACAGUCAACUCAAGUCCGGUUGGGUUCACAUACCUCUAUGUCUGAGUCAGAUUCACAUACUAGACCGAUUCAGGUCCACAGAGACGAAUCAGGGGCAACCUAGACUAUGGAUGCUUCAAGUACGUACUGGGCUAAUACUGAAACUACCAUAAAAAUAUAAGAGGAACUAUAGCCAGGUUAAAGCAUGCACUACUUCCAAUAAGUUCUGCUACGCUGUUACCGUAACACACUGUUACUACAUGAUCAUUUAAUUGUUUGAAAGCAAAUAAGGUGUUGAUGACAAUGGACCAGUACUCUGUCUUUGGGCAUAGGUAAAGUAAUCAUAUA